GACGAACGCUGGCGGCGUGCCUAAUACAUGCAAGUAGAACGCUGAAGCGAGGAGCUUGCUCUUCUUGGAUGAGUUGCGAACGGGUGAGUAACGCGUAGGUAACCUGCCUUGUAGCGGGGGAUAACUAUUGGAAACGAUAGCUAAUACCGCAUAACAAUGGAUGACACAUGUCAUUUAUUUGAAAGGGACAAUUGUUCCACUACAAGAUGGACCUGCGUUGUAUUAGCUAGUAGGUGAGGUAAUGGCUCACCUAGGCGACGAUACAUAGCCGACCUGGGAGGGUGAUCGGCCACACUGGGACUGAGACACGGCCCAGACUCCUACGGGAGGCAGCAGUAGGGAAUCUUCGGCAAUGGGGGCAACCCUGACCGAGCAACGCCGCGUGAGUGAAGAAGGUUUUCGGAUCGUAAAGCUCUGUUGUAAGUCAAGAACGGGUGUGAGAGUGGAAAGUUCACACUGUGACGGUAGCUUACCAGAAAGGGACGGCUAACUACGUG
rnacentral:rRNA from 1 species